rnacentral:rRNA from 1 species
AUUGAGCGCUGGCAGCGUGCUUAACACAUGCAAGUCGAUCGGUAACGCGGGGGCAACCCUGGCGACGAGAGGCGGACGGGUGAGGAACGCUUGGGAAUCUGCCUAUCAGCGGGGGACAACACGGGGAAACUCGUGCUAAUACCGCAUACGCUCUACGGAGGAAAGCCGGGGACCGCAAGGCCUGGCACUGAUAGAUGAGCCCAAGCCGGAUUAGCUAGUUGGCGGGGUAACGGCCCACCAAGGCGACGAUCCGUAGCUGGUCUGAGAGGACGAUCAGCCACACUGGGACUGAGACACGGCCCAGACUCCUACGGGAGGCAGCAGUGGGGAAUAUUGGACAAUGGGGGAAACCCUGAUCCAGCGACGCCGCGUGGGUGAAGAAGGCCUGCGGGUUGUAAAGCCCUUUCGGUAGGGACGAAAGCUCUCGACCUAACACGUCGGGAGGUUGACUUAACCUACAAAAGAAGCACCGGCUAACUCUGUGCCAGCAGCCGCGGUAAUAC